GACGUACCCAACGAAUAAGCACCCGGCUAACUACGUGCCAGCAGCCGCGGUAAUACGAAGGAGGCAAGCGUUAAUCCGGAUUCACUUGGGCGUAAAAGAGCGCGUAGGCGGCCUACUAAAGCCAGUUGGGAAACCUCCCRGCCCAAACUGGGAGAGGCCAAAGGRAAACGGGCGGGCUUAGGAAGGGCGAGCAAGGAAGGGAGGUGGGAAUCCCCGGUGGUAACCAGGUGAAAUGCGUAGAGAUCAGGGAGGAACACCCAGUGGCGAAGGCGGCUACCUGGGCUGANACUGACGCUGAGGCGCGAAAGCGUGGGGWGCAAACAGGAUUAGAUACCCUGGUAGUCCACGCCGUAAACGAU
rnacentral:rRNA from 1 species